AAUAGUGAAAUAUUCGAUAACAGAGUUUACACGAAGCCGUACGACCUGCGAAAACCAGCAUCGCAGUGGUCGACCAAUUGAGGUGACGACUCCAGAAAUAUAGAUAUAGUAUGCAUUUCAAAAAGUACGGCACAUUGAAUAUUAGCUGAAAAUUUGACAUGAGAAAGCUGUGCGCAAGAUGGGUGCCGCGUUUGCACAAAAUGGAACAGAAACAGCUUCGUAUAUUAUGGGAGCUUAUAGCAACGUUUGAGAGAAGAAAUCAAGUAAAAACAGGCCGCAUUUGGCUAAGAAGAAAGUGUUGUUUCAUCAAGACAAUGCAUCAGCUCACAUAUUCGUUUUUGCAAUGGCCACAAUUAAAGUUUGGUUUGCUAGCUCAAUUACCUUAUUCACCAGAUGAAGUCCCCUCGGAUUAUUUUCGGUUCCCAGACUCGAAAAACUGGCUUGGUGGUCUAAUAUUUCUCAACAAUAAUGAUAAGAAAAACAAUAAAAUGGUGGUAAAAUUACAAAAAAAAAAGAAAAAUGGAGCUGUUAAUAACUUCUUCAACUGCCUCGUCGAUUGCUCUACGCCUUUGGUAUAGUUUUCUCAUAUUGACCCACAACACCGCAAGCGGUACAUAAAAUUAUUUACCCACAUACUUUACUACAUAUUAAUCAUAAAAAUAAGUUUAUUUUCAUUGGCUUGGCUUAUGUCGUAUUGCCCCAGAAGCUGAAUGAAUGGACUAUAUAUCAUCUGACUUAUUUGUAGUAUUCAUUUCAAUAAUAAAAAAAAACUAUUCUGAUCAUAA